GAAACACGGACCAAGGAGUCUAGCAUGUGCGCGAGUCAUUGGGACUCUUGUUAAACCUAAAGGCGCAAUGAAAGUAAAGGUCCGCCUCGCGCGGACCGAGGGAGGAUGGGUCCGUCCCCGGGCGGGCCCCGCACUCCCGGGGCGUCUCGUUCUCAUCGCGAGAAGAGGCGCACCCAGAGCGUACACGCUGGGACCCGAAAGAUGGUGAACUAUGCCUGGUCAGGACGAAGUCAGGGGAAACCCUGAUGGAGGUCCGUAGCGAUUCUGACGUGCAAAUCGAUCGUCGGAACUGGGUAUAGGGGCGAAAGACUAAUCGAACCUUCUAGUAGCUGG
rnacentral:rRNA from 1 species